GAUGAACGCUGGCGGCGUGCCUAAUACAUGCAAGUCGAGCGAACAGACGAGGAGCUUGCUCCUCUGACGUUAGCGGCGGACGGGUGAGUAACACGUGGAUAACCUACCUAUAAGACUGGGAUAACUUCGGGAAACCGGAGCUAAUACCGGAUAACAUGUUGAACCGCAUGGUUCAACAGUGAAAGACGGUCUUGCUGUCACUUAUAGAUGGAUCCGCGCCGCAUUAGCUAGUUGGUAAGGUAACGGCUUACCAAGGCAACGAUGCGUAGCCGACCUGAGAGGGUGAUCGGCCACACUGGAACUGAGACACGGUCCAGACUCCUACGGGAGGCAGCAGUAGGAAAUCUUCCGUAAUGGGCGAAAGCCUGACGGAGCAACGCCGCGUGAGUGAAGAAGGUCUUCGGAUCGUAAAACUCUGUUAUUAGGGAAGAACAAAUGUGUAAGUAACUAUGCACGUCUUGACGGUACCUAAUCAGAAAGCCACGGCUAACUACGUG
rnacentral:rRNA from 1 species